UACGUAGGGCGCAAGCAUUAUCCGGAAUUAUUGGGCGUAAAGAGCUCGUAGGCGGUUUGUCGCGUCUGCCGUGAAAGUCCGGGGCUCAACUCCGGAUCUGCGGUGGGUACGGGCAGACUAGAGUGAUGUAGGGGAGACUGGAAUUCCUGGUGUAGCGGUGGAAUGCGCAGAUAUCAGGAGGAACACCGAUGGCGAAGGCAGGUCUCUGGGCCAUUACUGACACUGAGAAGCGAAAGCAUGGGGAGCGAACAGG
rnacentral:rRNA from 1 species